rnacentral:lncRNA from 1 species
UUUUUUUGUUUUGUUUUGUUUUUUUUUGGUCUUUCUGUUUCUUUAGGGCCGCACACACAGCAUAUGGAGGUUCACAGGCUAGGGGUCCAGUCAGAGCUGUAGCUGCUGGCCUAUACCAGAGCCACAGCAACAUGGGAUCCAAGCCAUGUCUUUGACCUUCACCACAGCGCAUGGCAAUGCCGGAUCCUUAACUCACUGAGCGAGGCCAGGGAUCGAACCUGCAACCUUGUGGAUACUAGUGGGGCUCAUUAACCGCUGAGCCAUGAUGGGAACUCUCCGCAAUAAAGUAUUUUUUAAAUUAAGGUAUGUACAAUUUUUUUAGACAUAGUGCUACUGCACACUAAAUAGACUACAGUAUAAAUACAACUUUUAUAUACACUGGGAAACCAAAAAAUUUAUGUGACUCAUUCUAAUGCAGUGUUCCUUUAGUGCAGUUGUCUGGAACUGAACCCACAAUAUCUCCAAGGUUUGCCCAUAAAUGUUUCUUCCCCCUAAGAUAAAACCACCUAUUUCAUUGUUAUAAAAAUAAUUUGUGAUCACGUUGUUUUUUUAAGUAAGAACUAGGAAUUCUCUUGGGGUGCAGCAAAUUAAGGAUCCAGUAUUUUCACUGCAAUGGCUCGGGUUGCUGUUGUGGUGCAGUUUCGAUCUCUGGCCCAGGGAUUUCUGCAUGGCUGGGGCAUGACCAAAAAAAAAAAGUCUAAACAACAGGCAUGAAGAAGAAAGUGAAGGGUCUCAUCCCUGGCCCUACCCUAACCACACUCCCCAGAGAUUUGAAUUGAUUACAAUGCUUUGGCUUUAAAUAACAAGAAAGUGAGAAGUGAGGAAGGGAGGGAAGACAGAAAGAAAACAAAACCAAACCAUCCUCAAACAUGCUUAUUGAAUAGGGAUACUUAUUAACUCCCAUGACUGAAAGUCCAAAUGUAAGGCAAUCUUUAGGGUUGUUUGACUUAAGGUCUACAGGCAGGUCACUGAUACUCUCAUGGGCAAAAAAUGUUUUGUUACCUUCCUGCUUAUUAUGGGAAAUUGGGUAUUGAAGUGAUGACAGGAGCUGAACUAGGAGGGAAAUCUGAAAGAUUUUUCCAUGGAAAUUAGCCUUAAAAAAUUAGGGCAAGCAGACUCUUGUUUGAGGUAGGUAAAAUGAGGCCUAUUAAGUUUCCAAAACUGACAUUAUCCACAAAAUGUCCAAGCCCCCACAAAACCCUGGUGGGCAAGCAGGGGAAUGGUGUUCAUCUUUAAGACACCUAUCUAGGAACUUCAUCUGGACUGAUGGCCCUCUGUGUGGCUCCUCUGCCUCGAUGAGCAGUGGGUCAAUCCAGAACCCUCUGUGGGGUCUCCGCAGGGAAUCUCAGCGGAGUUGGAGGCAAAAAUCUGAAGAGAUGCAGAGGAGGCAUGUCCUUUCGGAGAUGGCUGGGGCAUGGGGCUUUAUUGGGAGAAGCUGAGCUAACAUAGGUCCCAGGUUUUUUCAUUCAUGGGUCACUCUCUGAAUUUAUCUGGUUUCAUUCAGUUGAAGAAUGGGAACCUGACUUGAAAUAAUUUAGGUGGAAAUAGAGUGUAUCAGCUCAGGAUAAUAAUAGCUGCUCUAAUAAACAGAUACAAAUUUCUUCCUCAUGUAAAAAUCCAUUCAGUAGGUGAUUUUUCCUCCUAGUAGUGAUUCAGGGACCUGCACCCUUUCCUCUUACAGCUCUGUCAUCCUCUAGGCAGGGGUGCUUAUUCUGGGGUCCCAUGUACGCACAAAAGAUCUGUGGAUAUAGGCCAGGGAGGAGCGCUGUGAACCCAGACAGUCAAGUUUAGCUUUUCCUUCUAUUUUGAAUCUAGAUGAAAAAUCCCAGUAGAAUGAAUGAUACCUCUGACUAUCACCAGUGGAAACCUCAUAUUUUCAUAUCCUACCACAAUUGUAGGAGAGAGGUAUUUUUCCCUCAAUUUCAUUUUUUCUUUUUUAAAUUGAGGUGCAUUUACAUAACUUAAAAUCAACUAUUUUAAGUACAUACUUCAGUUAUAUUUACUACAUUCACAAGGUUAUGCAACCACUACCUCUCUCUAUUUCUAAAACAAUUUCAUCAUCCUAAAAGGAAAUGUUGGGAAUAUCUAGAAAUAUCAUUUUCACUCAUUUACUACUUUGAAAAUAUAGUAGGUAUUAAUUAGACCCACCAGUAGAAUUUGUUACGUAACGUGCUAUAAAUGCACAAAUAUUAUUAGGUCAUAAUACUUUAUUUUGGUAACUCCAUUUCAGUGUAACUGGUUUCCUUUAUAAUCUUAUGUAUUUUAUUUUAUGCUUUUAAAAAACAUUAGUCGCAGCAAGAGGAUCUGUCAAGAGGGCUCCUGGCAUUAAAAAAAAAAAAAAAAAAAGCAUAAAGACCCCCUGGCCUUGUUUUUGGAGCUCUCUGCACCUACUGAUAAAGAUGGGGAGAGACAGGGAGAAAGCACAAGUUCCUCUUAACUAGUUCAGCCUAAAGUCACUCAUAGUACUUCUCUCACUCCAUUGGCAAGAACUAGUCACAUAUCUCCACCAAAUGUGAAGACUUGGAAAAGAUUUUCACAAGCUUGGAAAUAACCUACCCAAUUCUAUCCAUGCAGCUGCUUCUCAGCAACAUAUCUGUACAAUGGAAGGAACAGAAUGAAUUUUUUGACGAGUUAAACAUCUCUGCCACAGUUUACCCCUGUGAUUACCAAAUAUCCCCAUUUAUACAUCUUCCAACAAAUGGCACCUACUCUUCCUGUCUCCAAAGAAGGCCCCAUGCAUUGCUCCAUCCUUCUCUUAGCCCUUCUUCUAUCCCGCUGCCUAGAAUAUGGAGCUGCUGUCUUGGUCCAUGAGCAUGAGACCCAGGAUGUCAAAAUAAGAAAGGGAAAUGAGGAAGUUCCUGCUGUGGUGCUGUGGGUCAAUGAUCCGACUCAUCUCCAUGGUGUUGCUGGUUCUAUCCCCAGCCCAGCACAGUGGGUUAUGGAUCUGGCAUUGCUGCAGCUGUGGCAUAGGUCACAGACGGGGCGUGGAUUCAGUCCCUGGCCUGGGAACUAUCAUGUGCUGUGGGUACAGCCAAAAAAGGAAAAGAAAGGGAGCUGGAAGAAGCCUGGUGUCUUAGCAUUUCGUGGAGCAGCCACCGCACCAGCUCUAGGCUGAAUCCCUCCGUAAUCAUAGUACAUAAUUGGCAGGAGAUAAGAUUGAUGCCCUGCCACACAGAAACCAAAAGCUUGCUGGCAGAAAGUAGAUUAAGAGUGGUGCCUUACAAACUAAGUUGAUUAGUUAAAAAAUGGCCUCAGAUUCAUUACACUGUGAAAUUGGGUAAUGAGCAGACCACAAAGGCAGAUGACCCCAGUCUUAAAAUUUAAAAACUAUGUCUACGCAACCAUCUUUGGUUAUGGGUAUUUUCACAUGGAAUUAACAGGAUGAGAAGAGAAUGGAAGCCUACUAGGAUUUUAGGGAAAUAUCAAAGGAUCACCAAUAUGGCCUACAAUCCCAGAAUUAUUUAACCUCGAAAGCAAUGCCGUCUCCCAAACCUGCACUGGCAGGAAGCAGAUGCUUUAAUGCCCAAGUCUAAUAUGACAUGAAAGAAAACAUAACCUCCAGAAGGCAAAGACAAAGCUUUAGAAGCCAGUGGGCAAAAGGCUGCCCGGUGUGUUGACCAAUUUCUCAAUUUCCAGAGAAGUGAGACUCUGGUGUCCUAGAAAACCAAGUGGGCAAGAACAAGUGGCUGUUGUAGAUCUACAAUCCUCCCACUUUCUGGAUUGUAUUUGUUUAUUUGCUACACUUCUCCUAUUUCUACUGAUAAUCACAUAUUCAGUGUGUUGGAGACAGGUGUCUUUUAGUUCCUAAGUUACUGGACAACAGAAGCUAUAUUGGGACCUGCUGGUUACUCUGCCCUAUACCAGCCCCUAGGUCGCCCCCCUUGGAGACAGGAUGGAAGUGCUCUGUUUAUGGGAAGAAGGGUGCACAGGUAUAUAUAGGAGGCAAAGGGAUAAGUUGUACCAGGACGGCAGGAAAACUUUUUCCAAAAUAAAGAUGACAUUUCCCAGCGGCUCCUUACUUGCCAGUAUUCUUAGCGUUGAGUGGGAAUAAAUAUGUAGAAAAUCCUCUGUUUUACUCUCAUCAGAGAACAAACCCCUCAUCGGAGUGGGGAGGGGCAGAUAUCUGGCUGAGCAGAAUGGGGGAGAGGAUCUGAGAUCUAAUUUCCUCUCAAGGUGCUUUCUCCCAUCCUUCUAGUUUUAUGGGCCCCUACAUUUAAAGAGUAUAACUCCUCAGGUAAAGUUGCAGCUGAUGCCAGUUUCUGAGACUUAAAGAUUCUGAAGUUUUGCUUUGUUUUGUUUCAUUUGUUUUCCUUCACAGGAGUCCCCUUCCUCUUAAAUUUUUUUUUCAUUUUCCAAUCUUUAUAGAUUCACAUGAAGUUGCAAAGAAAUGUAUAGGGAGGUUCCCAUGUGCCCUCCACCCAACUGCUCCCGAUAUUUAUAUCCUGCAUAACUACAGAGCAAUAUCAAAUUCAGAAUAUUGACAUUAUGUACAAACCAUUGAGCUUAUUCAGAUUUCACCUGUUAUGCAUGUGCAAUUUUUUUACAUGUGUGGCUUCAUGGAACCAACAAUGUAAUCCAGAUACGUAAUUGGGAGUUCCCAUCAUGGCGUAGUGGAAAUGAAUCCGACUAGGAACCAUAAGGUUGUGGGUUCGAUCCCUGGCCUCACUCAGUGGGUUACGGAUCUGGCAGAGCCGUGAGCUGUGGUGUAGGUCACAGACAUGGCUCGGAUCUGAUGUUGCUGUGGCCGUGGUGUAGGCCAGCAGCUGUAACUCUGAUUGGAUCCCUAACCUGGAAACCUCCAUAUACCUUCAGUGUGGCCCU